rnacentral:piRNA from 1 species
UGACAAUUUUAAGAGACUUUGUAAAGAA